UUAUGUACAUGCUUACAACAUAGAGUUAAUGCAUCAGAUCCCAUUAGAAAUCCAUAUUUAAGCAUGUUCGAGUUAGAGUAGUACUAGGAUGGGUGACUGCCUAGGAGGUCUUGGUGUUUUACAUGAC
rnacentral:rRNA from 1 species